rnacentral:tRNA from 2 species
GGAGAGGUGCCAGAGUGGUAAUGGAGCAGAUUGCUAAUCUGUCAACGCGUAAGUGUUGCCGGGGUUCGAAUCCCCGUCUCUCCGCCA